UAGUGGAAGCCUCUGGAAAUAGGCGCCAUAGCGGGUGAUAGCCCCGUACACGAAAAACUGCAUGAGAUGAAAUCGAGUAAGGCGAGGCACGUGAAACCUUGUCUGAAUAUGGGGGGACCAUCCUCCAAGGCUAAAUACUCGUUGCCGACCGAUAGUGAACCAGUACCGUGAGGGAAAGGUGAAAAGAACCCCGGGAGGGGAGUGAAAUAGAUCCUGAAACCGUAUGCGUACAAGCAGUGGGAGCAGACUUUGUUCUGUGACUGCGUACCUUUUGUAUAAUGGGUCAGCGACUUAUUUUCAGUGGCGAGCUUAACCGAAUAGGGGAGGCGUAGCGAAAGCGAGUCUUAAUAGGGCGUUCAGUCGCUGGCAAUAGACCCGAAACCCGGCGAUCUAGUCAUGGGCAGGUUGAAGGUGAGGUAACACUUACUGGAGG
rnacentral:rRNA from 10 species